UGCGAUGAUUAUUGAGCAAACAAGCUCCUCGAUUAGAAUGGCAGAGAGGAAGAUUGCACACCCAGGCUAAAUUACACUUUACAGGGAGAUGGCACAGAACAGCUUUCUGCUGAGGUUACACUUAAAUUACAGCUGUUGCUAAAGCAAACAGCUCACAGUUUAUGCAUGGAUUUAAAUUAUGCAUCCAGCAGGCAGGACGUUUAUGGGAAAAAAUCAAGGCAACUCAAUAGAUUACUGAAUUGCCGCCACACUUGUAAGGGACAAAAAUAUCUGUAGUAGCAGGGCAUCAAAAAUGAGCCACAAACAUCCAUUAUUCGCCAUUGUCCAGCACUCCUGAGAAAAGCAGCUCAGCUCUCGAGCACCCCUGGAGUUGUUACCAGUGUUAAAAUUGUAAAGUGACUGAGUGCAUCUCUGCCAUGUGAGCACUGAUGCCUUAAGAAGAGUUGCCUGACGCUUUGGGGAAAUGUGUUCAUCAGUGCCUGGCACGUGAAGACCCAAACAUUUGCAAGAAUGUGUCGAUGUUUUAAGGAUCUGUAAGGAGACUGAGGAAUGAGACAUCUGUCACAGAGAACUGGGGCUGAAACCUUACUAGGACCAGUGUUAUUGUGCAAACCAAGAGCACACCAGUAGGAGAACAGUGCCAGGAGCAAGCAGUAGCAUGAAGCAUCACAGGAAGGGAAGAGAUUGGAGCCCAUAGGAACCGGUGCCCUUUCCGUUCUGCCCUGCAGCCGUUUGCAGAGCAGCAAGUCAUGCCUGCACGGAGCUGCAGCCAAGCUCGUGUCCAGAAGUCGUGUGUUUGGCAGCUCCUCCUAUGCAGGCAGGAGCUGAUUAAUGCCAGCUGAAUCCAUGGUGAUAGGAGUCAGCGUGGCAAUGCUGCCCAUGGAAACCAGAGCUGCCGACUGUCACUGCUUCCUGCGCCCGGGCUUUAAUAUGUUGUCACUCACCUCGGCUUUGCUCCCACUUUCACCUUCAUAAAUCUGGAGUAAGCUUGCUUGUCGAUGAGAGCCAGAAGGCGUUAAAAGGAACUGGAGCCAGCAGUCAGUUGCCCUCCCAAGGAAUGACCAACACAGCAUAUCUUUUUGCCGCACAGGAAAAUUAGUGCAGCUUCCUGACUGUAACUGCAAGCAGACUGCCUGCUCUCAGGAGAUCCGAGGAAGGGAUGGCUUCCUCUGUGCUGCUGCUGAGGAGCAGAGGAGUGUUUAAGUGGUACAGCCGGGAGUGAGGCAGGCACCCAGCAGACAGAUCUGUGCAGCCAAAUUCCAGUCAUUGCACAGGGAUGGGGGCCAGAGCAACACAGCCCCACAUGGGGUGGUGAGAGUUUUCCUCUCAAAUCUGUCCUCUGUGCUCCAGAUCUGACAGCAUAAGGACACAGACGCAGUGAAGGAGCAAUGUUCAUCUGCCCCUUUUCGGUUGACUUCUCUUAUUUAAAAAGAAGAGAUGUUCAUAACUGCAAAAAAUAAACAUUAUUUCUCACAAUAGGUCAGUGGCAACUUUCCUUAGGAGGGACUAGCCAGGUAUCCCAAAGUAAUUGACAGGAAUAGUCAGGCAGGCAGUUUGAUACUGAAAUAGAGAGUAAAAAUGUACUGUGUUGCUAUUAGCUGUAGUAGUAAUGGUGGGGAGAGACAUACUUGUAGCUGUCAUGGAAGUAUUAAAUCCAAAAUUACUCACUGUUAUCAGCACUGAUAAAAAUCUAGCUAUCAGAUUCUUAAAUUGGUAUCGAGAAUGAUGAACUCUCGGUCUCUGUUAUCACCACUGAUCAGGGACAGGCUGCUGCUGAGUCUGUCUGGACUCUUGCCUCGUGCUUUUUCCCCCGGAUAACGUUCAAAGCCCAACACACGGAGCAACAGCUGGAUUCCACAGACAGAUGUGGGGAGCAGCAAGUCAGUGAGAUGGCUGUGAUUAGUGUGAUAAACAGCAAUCACGGCACGCAGCUGCCUCGUGGCUGGCAGGGUUUUGCAGCAGCAAGGUUCUGUGAUGUCCCUGCCCAGAACAUCCCCACACUGAGUUGCUGCACAGCAGCACUGUCUACCAACCUCAGAUCCUUAGGGCUGCCCCUCGGAGGUGGAUGCAGCCCACAGCUUUAUGGACACUUGCAGAAUUUGGAGGUGCCUUCCAGUCCCAUUUCCCCCCUGCACUUUCUGAACUCUCCCCUGGUCUGUAUAGGAGACAUCAUUUCAACCUGGAGGCACUAACUGGUCACUGACUGCCAGACUGUUCAUAGUGCUAUAACGUGACUUCACUUGGUGCCAAGGGCUGAAGUGCUGCUGGUGGGUUGUACACCCUUUGGAUACCCUUUAUCCACUGCAUUCACUGCUAUUUCAGAGGUACCCUGAAGGUAUUUAAGACACUCAAUAGUGCCAAAUGCUCUGAAAACAAGGACAAGACCAUGAGAUGUUCACUGCCAAAAUGGGUUCCAAAUGUCACUGCCUUGCCUUUAUUGCCACCAGCCUGCUGGUGUCCCAGCAUGUAGGAAUGCUCCAAAGCAGUGCUGGUCUGCCCCAACUCAGUGCCUCCUGCAGCAGCCAAAAUGAAACCAAAUUUUGUACAAAAGCAUAUGAAAAGAGUUCAUGUCUUCCACUUACCAGCAAAGCUUUAAAGGAGAGUGAUUUUUGGUGAGAGGAACAGUUUAAACCAUUGCAGCUAUUUUUGAACGUGAAUCUUUUCUAUAACCUGAGAGCCAGCUUCUUGCCUGAUGCGAUGACAUGCUAAGAGCAUAAGGCAUACAUAGGGGGAGCAGAAAGGAAGGGUUAUUAUCCCCAUUUCACAGGUGAAAUCUGAAAUGCAGGGGAGAUUGAGUGAUUUUUCCCCAAACUACAUAGGCACUGAAAAAAGUCUCACCAGAUGUGAAUGGAGAUGCAUCCAUGCUACAGUUAUUAUGGGAGGCAAGUGCAGCUUGUGCCUGCAGCUGCAAGGUGACGUUCAGUCUUCUGAUUUCUGUGUUUGCUGUUGUGUGGAGGGACUUGGAAGAAGGCAGCAAAGCUGCUGGGGGCUGUGUUAGAUGUGCCUGUGCAAGUACAGUCUGGGAAAAGGGAAUGGUUGUGAGCCUGGAGUCUUUCAGCUUGUUUAAUAAAGAUCUUUCCCGUUGCAUCAACCGGAGCUAACAAAGCAGUGUCUGCACACACUUGAUUAACCUGAGAUCCCUCAUGUCUGCCCCUGGUGUGUGUGUGCUCGGUGAGGGUCGGAGGGCUGCAGAGCAAGUCAGCUGGCAGCCUCUCUCCUGAAGCAGCCCCUCACAGGGCUCUCUCUUUGCUGUGCUGAGAGCCAGCUGGGUGCAUGGAAGCACAGGAGGGCUUUUGCAUAUGGGAAAAGACAUCAGGAGAAGGGGUGUGAAGCCUCCCUGCAGAGUGGCAUAAAUUAUCUGUUGAAGAGCUAGUCUGUGGCCAUCACCAUUACCUGAAUUAUAGGUCUUUAGUCUGAACAGCUUCAAAGCAAGCUGUGUUUUUUUGUAUAUUACCCCUUCAUCCUUUAAUAUUUAGAAGAUGAAAGGAAGGAUUUCAAGCACCGGUGGGGAAUUUAGGCAGGAACAGAACAUUCUGUUACUUAUUGUGUAGACAAAGGAUGUUUGUCUUAAUUAAGGUAAAAACUGAGCAAGAAUACAUAGGAGCACUGCUCUCUGAUGGCGGAUGGGAUCUGCCUGAGAACAAUCCACCUCUGUGUGUGACUUGACCAGUUCAGGCCGCGGUCCUGAUCAUUCAGCUCAGUUUCUGUUGAACUGUCAGACAUGUCAUAAGGCAAAGCUGCUGAAAGCUAAGUUAGAGCAGAGAGUGAAGUGAGUUUAUGAUCUCAUUAAUAAUUAGAAAUUGAACCUGAGUAGACUUGAUUUUUUUCAAAAGAAAAUAUCCUGUACCUAUAGCAACUAAUGUCCACUUGGGGGUCUUUCUGGUAGAGCAGAAAGCAGCUUUUGUGAGGCAUAGCUGUGUACAAUGCCAAGAGAAAUGAGAGCUAAUAAAAUGGAGAAUAUACAUCACCCAUUUACAUUUAUUGCACAUUAAACCUUGGCGCACACAAAAGAUAAUGACAGAUGCAAAUUGAGAGCACUUGAGCCGUGUGUCUGUCAAUGGGGAACAGGCACAAAGCCAGAGACCCAUAUUUCCACCAACCACAUGCUUUGAGGUGGGGUCAGGCAUGAACUGAGCUGCAAAGCGUGGCCUAUGAGACUGCAGGUUAGCCUCAGCCCGCGAGCACCUUUCUUUCUGUUUGCAUCCAGACUUGUGGCAAUCAGUUAUUUGCAGUACUGGAACUGAACCAUCUGCCCCAGUACUGCCUUUGCACAUGUAGAAUUCUGAUCCAGAGAGCCUAUCCUCGGCUCCUCCAGCUCACUUGUUUCAGAUCCCCAUUGGGGAAAUGUAGAAAAGGCUGUCUCUAGCCCAAAGAAUUUGAAUACAAAGAAUAAGCAAAUAAAAAUGCUGGCCUUGUAAUUAAUAUACUGGCAUAAGGACAAUACACUGGAAGGCAAUUUCCGUCCCGCUUGAUGUGGGAUCUUGUGUGUGUCACUGAAGCUCACUGUCACCCCAGCUGAGCAAGAGGGAUGUUGCUCUCGUCUGAUUCACCUAGGAUCAAAGUGCUUACUUGUUUUAGAUCACUGUUCUUUAUUCAGCCAGCACAGCCGUCUGCUCCUCUAAUGCAAAAACUUCAUUUCAGAUGGAAAAAGUAUAGCAAGGUGCAAGUUUCUGCACAGCUGGAGCACAGCUACAGUGCUGGGGAAACAUCUGCAUAGAGCACAGAGCCCUUCGGGUGACAAGCAAGCAAGUCAACAGGCCUCUAUCAAAACAGCCCCCUGGGCAACUGCCUGGAGAGCUCAUCCUUGGUCAAGUAGUUGUUUUCAAGGAGGAUUUCUGGCCCCUAAGCUGCAGUGUUUGCCUUCAGCCUUUCUGUGCCUCCCCCUCCUCCUGGGAGCGGAUUGCUGUGAGAACAUCUUGCUGCUUUCUUCGCUUCUGCUGCGCCCAACACCCGUCAGCACAAUGCUGAAAAGGAGCAGAGAAAGGGGGCUGCAAGCACUUUAAUUACUGCGAGUGCUUGUUUUGUGUACGUGUGAUUGCUUCCUAUGAUACAGUAACUUCUUCUCUUUCCCUAUGCAAGCGUGGUGUUUCUAUUUAUCACGAUGAAACUGGAGCAGCAAAUUAGAGAGGGAAAGGGAGCAACCGCAUAGCUCUAUUUGUAAGCAAAACUGGCAGUGUGUGCGGAGGAGCAACAGUUUCUGUUGAGAGCGAGUGAUGGAUUCUCUCUCUGCAGAAAUCUGGCUCCUUUGGCCCUUCACUUUCACUUCCUGUUCUUAAUUCGCUUUGAAAAGAUUACCCAAGCUCUCACCAAGUUUAGAAGAGCUGUGUGCUAUUAUUCCCAUUUCACAGAGAAAAAAAAAAUGUAGAUGUAGAGAAGCUUCUAUGUGUGAA